rnacentral:snRNA from 1 species
ACACUUACCCUGCCAGGGAGACAACAUGGUCACAGAAGUGGUUUUCCCAGAGUGAGGCUUAGUCGUUGCCUUCCUAAUCUGCUAAGCCCUGCGAUUUCCCCAAAUGUGGGAAACGAGACUGUGUAAUUUGUGAUGGUGGGGGACUAGGCUACAUUUGUGCUCCCCCCCC